UGCUCUUGUGUGAGAGUGGCGGACGGGUGAGUAGUGUCUGGGGAUCUGCCCGAUAGAGGGGGAUAACCACUGGAAACGGUGGCUAAUACCGCAUAACGUCGCAAGACCAAAGAGGGGGACCUUCGGGCCUCUCACUAUCGGAUGAACCCAGAUGGGAUUAGCUAGUAGGCGGGGUAAUGGCCCACCUAGGCGACGAUCCCUAGCUGGUCUGAGAGGAUGACCAGCCACACUGGAACUGAGACACGGUCCACACUCCUACGGGAGGCAGCAGUGGGGAAUAUUGCACAGUGGGCGCAAGCCUGAUGCACCCGUGCCGCGUGUAUGAAGAAGGCCUUCGGGUUGUAAAGUACUUUCAGCGGGGAGGAAGGCGGUGCGGUUAAUAACCGCGCCGAUUGACGUUACCCGCAAAAAAGGCACCGGCUAACUCCGUGCCAGCAGCCGCGGUAAUACAGAGGGUGCAAGCGUUAAUCAGAAUUACUGGGCGUAAAGCGCACGCAGGCGGUCUGUUAAGUCAGAUGUGAAAUCCCCGGCCUUAACCUGGGAACUGCUUUUGAAACUGGCAGGCUUGACUCUUGUAGAGGGGGGUAAAAUUCCGGGUGUAGCGGUGAAAUGCGUAGAGAUCUGGAGGAAUACCGGUGGCGAAGGCGGCCCCCUGGACAAAGACUGACUCUCAGGUGCAAAAGCGUGGGGAGCAAACAGGAUUAUAUACCCUGGUACUCCACGCCGUAAACGAUGUCCACUUGGAGGUUGUUCCCUUGAGGAGUG
rnacentral:rRNA from 1 species